AGAGUUUGAUCCUGGCUCAGGAUGAACGCUGGCGGCGUGCCUAACACAUGCAAGUCGAGCGAUUCUCUUCGGAGAAGAGCGGCGGACGGGUGAGUAACGCGUGGGUAACCUGCCCUGUACACACGGAUAACAUACCGAAAGGUAUGCUAAUACGGGAUAACAUAUAAGAGUCGCAUGACUUUUAUAUCAAAGAUUUUUCGGUACAGGAUGGACCCGCGUCUGAUUAGCUUGUUGGCGGGGUAACGGCCCACCAAGGCGACGAUCAGUAGCCGACCUGAGAGGGUGAUCGGCCACAUUGGAACUGAGACACGGUCCAAACUCCUACGGGAGGCAGCAGUGGGGAAUAUUGCACAAUGGGCGCAAGCCUGAUGCAGCAACGCCGCGUGAGCGAUGAAGGCCUUCGGGUCGUAAAGCUCUGUCCUCAAGGAAGAUAAUGACGGUACUUGAGGAGGAAGCCCCGGCUAACUACGUGCCAGCAGCCGCGGUAAUACGUAGGGGGCUAGCGUUAUCCGGAUUUACUGGGUGUAAAGGGCGUGUAGGCGGAGGUGCAAGUUGGGAGUGAAAUCCCGGGGCUCAACCCCGGAACUGCUUUCAAAACUGUACCCCUUGAGUGUCGGAGAGGCAAGCGGAAUUCCUAGUGUAGCGGUGAAAUGCGUAGAUAUUAGGAGGAACACCAGUGGCGAAGGCGGCUUGCUGGACGAUAACUGACGCUGAGGCGCGAAAGCGUGGGGAGCAAACAGGAUUAGAUACCCUGGUAGUCCACGCUGUAAACGAUGAAUACUAGGUGUGGGAGGACUGACCCCUUCCGUGCCGCAGUUAACACAAUAAGUAUUCCACCUGGGGAGUACGACCGCAAGGUUGAAACUCAAAGGAAUUGACGGGGGCCCGCACAAGCAGUGGAUUAUGUGGUUUAAUUCGACGCAACGCGAAGAACCUUACCAGGAUUUGACAUCCUACUAACGAAGCAGAGAUGCAUUAGGUGCCCUUCGGGGAAAGUAGAGACAGGUGGUGCAUGGUUGUCGUCAGCUCGUGUCGUGAGAUGUUGGGUUAAGUCCCGCAACGAGCGCAACCCCUAUUGUUAGUUGCUACGCAAGAGCACUCUAGCGAGACUGCCGUUGACAAAACGGAGGAAGGCGGGGACGACGUCAAAUCAUCAUGCCCCUUAUGUCCUGGGCUACACACGUAAUACAAUGGUGGUUAACAGAGGGAAGCAAGACUGCGAAGUGGAGCAAAUCCCUAAAAGCCAUCUCAGUUCGGAUUGCAGGCUGCAACUCGCCUGCAUGAAGCUGGAAUUGCUAGUAAUCGCGGAUCAGCAUGCCGCGGUGAAUACGUUCCCGGGCCUUGCACUCACCGCCCGUCA
rnacentral:rRNA from 1 species